GUGUGGGGUCCUAUCGACGGACUCCAUGCCGUAGCUAACGCAUUAAGUGCCCCGCCUGGGGAGUACGGCCGCAAGGCUAAAACUCAAAGGAAUUGACGGGGGCCCGCACAAGCGGCGGAGCAUGUUGCUUAAUUCGAUGCAACGCGAAGAACCUUACCUGGGCUUGACAUGUAGGGAAAAGCCGUAGAGAUACGGUGUCCUUCGGGGCCUUACACAGGUGGUGCAUGGUUGUCGUCAGCUCGUGUCGUGAGAUGUUGGGUUAAGUCCCGCAACGAGCGCAACCCUUGUCCUAUGUUGCCAGCGGGUAAUGCCGGGGACUCGUAGGAGACUGCCGGGGUCAACUCGGAGGAAGGUGGGGAUGACGUCAAAUCAUCAUGCCCCUUACGUCCAGGGCUGCAAACAUGCUACAAUGGCCGGUACAAAGGGCUGCUAUUCCGCGAGGAUGAGCGAAUCCCAAAAAGCCGGUCUCAGUUCGGAUCGAAGUCUGCAACUCGACUUCGUGAAGUCGGAGUCGCUAAUAAUCCCGGAUCAACAUUGCCGGGGCGAAUAC
rnacentral:rRNA from 1 species